CGCAUCCUUUGCUGAGGAUACGGUUAACGGAGCGAAAGCGACGUUCAACCGCAAAACAAGCAGAGGGGGCUUAGUGGUGGGGUGACUGCGUACCUUUUGUAUAAUGGGUCAGCGACUUAUAUUCUGUAGCAAGGUUAACCGAAUAGGGGAGCCGGAGGGAAACCGAGUCUUAAUUGGGCGUUAAGUUGCAGGGUAUAGACCCGAAACCCGGUGAUCUAGCCAUGGGCAGGUUGAAGGUUGGGUAACACUAACUGGAGGACCGAACCGACUAAUGUUGAAAAAUUAGCGGAUGACCUGUGGCUGGGGGUGAAAGGCCAAUCAAACCGGGAGAUAGCUGGUUCUCCCCGAAAGCUAUUUAGGUAGCGCCUCGUGAAUUCAUCUCCGGGGGUAGAGCACUGUUUCGGCUAGGGGGCCAUCCCGGCUUACCAACCCGAUGCAAACUGCGAAUACCGGAGAAUGUUAUCACGGGAGACACACGGCGGGUGCUAACGUCCGUCGUGAAGAGGGAAACAACCCAGACCGCCAGCUAAGGUCCCAAAGUCAUGGUUAAGUGGGAAACGAUGUGGGAAGGCCCAGACAGCCAGGAUGUUGGCUUAGAAGCAGCCAUCAUUUAAAGAAAGCGUAAUAGCUCACUGGUCGAGUCGGCCUGCGCGGAAGAUGUAACGGGGCUAAACCAUGCACCGAAGCUGCGGCAGCGAACGUAUCACCCAAGACAACUUUACGGAGUUGACGAUUGACGGAGCGAAGCGACGUCAAAGCGUUCAUUAAAGUCGAGUUGGCUUAGGGAUACGUUCGUUGGGUAGGGGAGCGUUCUGUAAGCCUGUGAAGGUGUGUCGUGAGGCAUGCUGGAGGUAUCAGAAGUGCGAAUGCUGACAUAAGUAACGAUAAAGCGGGUGAAAAGCCCGCUCGCCGGAAGACCAAGGGUUCCUGUCCAACGUUAAUCGGGGCAGGGUGAGUCGACCCCUAAGGCGAGGCCGAAAGGCGUAGUCGAUGGGAAACGGGUUAAUAUUCCCGUACUUGGUGUUACUGCGAAGGGGGGACGGAGAAGGCUAUGUUGGCCGGGCGACGGUUGUCCCGGUUUAAGCGUGUAGGUGUGUGUUCCAGGUAAAUCCGGUUCACUUUAACACUGAGGCGUGACGACGAGGCACUACGGUGCUGAAGCAACAAAUGCCCUGCUUCCAGGAAAAGCCUCUAAGCAUCAGGUAACACGAAAUCGUACCCCAAACCGACACAGGUGGUCAGGUAGAGAAUACCAAGGCGCUUGAGAGAACUCGGGUGAAGGAACUAGGCAAAAUGGUGCCGUAACUUCGGGAGAAGGCACGCUGACACGUAGGUGAAGUGAUUUACUCAUGGAGCUGAAGUCAGUCGAAGAUACCAGCUGGCUGCAACUGUUUAUUAAAAACACAGCACUGUGCAAACACGAAAGUGGACGUAUACGGUGUGACGCCUGCCCGGUGCCGGAAGGUUAAUUGAUGGGGUCAGCG
rnacentral:rRNA from 1 species